GACGAACGCUGGCGGCGUGCUUAACACAUGCAAGUCGAACGGAAAGGCCCCUUCGGGGGUACUCGAGUGGCGAACGGGUGAGUAACACGUGAGUAACCUGCCCUUGACUUCGGGAUAACUUCAGGAAACUGGGGCUAAUACCGGAUAGGAAUCCUUGCUGCAUGGUGGGGGUUGGAAAGCUUCGGCGGUUUUGGAUGGACUCGCGGCUUAUCAGCUUGUUGGUGGGGUAGUGGCUUACCAAGGCUUUGACGGGUAGCCGGCCUGAGAGGGCGACCGGCCACAUUGGGACUGAGAUACGGCCCAGACUCCUACGGGAGGCAGCAGUGGGGAAUAUUGCACAAUGGGCGGAAGCCUGAUGCAGCAACGCCGCGUGCGGGAUGACGGCCUUUGGGUUGUAAACCGCUUUCAGCAGGGGCGAAGCUUGUGGUGACGGUACCUGCAGAAGAAGCACCGGCUAACUACGUG
rnacentral:rRNA from 1 species